CAGGCUUUAAAUUUACCUCAGCUUCAUCUACUCUAGACAAUGUCAACCUAUCUCUUUGGGAAGUCACAAGGAUCCUGCAAGGUGAAUUCCAGGCUCUGAAGCACAAAAAUGCAGAAACCAAAUGUGACCAAUAUAAGGGCUUAAUGAGUGCUGAAGAAGGCAAGACUAAUUCCUAGUCAUACUCCCACCAUUACAGCCUGUUUCCAGCAUUUCAAAAACAGUUCCACACUAUUUACUCAUAUUCAAAUUAACUAUUAACCCAGGUUUUUUUUUUUAAUAUUGUGCUCCAGGUAUCUCAUGAAUUGCAAAACAUUCCUUAAUUGAUACAGUGUUUGGGCAGUAUUUAUACCUACCCUGACUUUCUCCUGAUUAUGUUUGUUUGAACUUAUUAGUCCUAAGGCAUAUUGCAUUGUUUCCCCCUAUUCUGCUUUUUCCUGGCAUUGAUAAAUUUGUUCUUUCAGUUUCAAGGCCACCCUAAAAUGUAUUCCAUAUUCCCUGAUGUUUGUGACUGCUCAGCUUUUUGUCUUCAUGAUUCUAAAGAGAACAUUUUCAAAUCCAUCAUUGGUCAAUGAUGGCUAUUAAAAUAGUGCUAAGCUCAAGGCUGACUGAUGUCCACUAUCACUUCAGGUGUUCCCUCUCAGUUUCUCAGAUUGGUGAUAAGUUAUUUAGAAGCCACCCUUUCAACAGUGCCAAAAGUUGCAAAUGGUAUGCUGCUGUUUCUUGAAAAUUCAUGAUUUUGAAAAACAAAGAAACAGAAGAUGACAGUAGUAACAUUCACUGGAGAAGUAGGCCCCCUGCAGCCAGCCUUGGAGAUCCAGAUCUUCUGGGCAGCCAGUAACUAAUUCUUACCUCAGGGUAGGGGUAGUGUUGGUCUUGGCUUUCUGGCUGUAGCUCAUACUGUAGCCUUUCAGGGCUUAAGCAGAGCCAUUUUGCUAUAAAUUUAGACAUAAUUUAACGAGUUCAGUUAUCUAGUUUCCUAGAUCAUCUGAGUAGAAACACAGAAGCAGCAAGUUAGAACAGAAGAAACAAGCUCACAGUAGCAAGUAGUGACAGUUAAAAAGCGGGAAAGGACAACAGUGGAGACUAGAAAGCUAACAUAAGAACCUAAAAAGCAAAGUAGCCUGGGCCCAUUAGCAGAAAAGCAGAUGACUACUUCUGUAAUCCUUGCAGCCCUUGAGCUGAGACUACCAGAAGGAGAGAAGAGAAAGAAGAAAAAAAUAUUUGAAGAACAGAAUGCUGAAAGUCAAAGGCAAGGAGAAAAUCUUGAAAAAAGCGAGAGAAAAAUGUCAUUUACAAGGGAGCUCAAUAUGAUUAACAGUUGACUUCUCAUCAGGAACAAUGAAAGCCAGAAGGCAGUGGAAAAACAUUCAAAACGCUCCAAGAAAAAUACUGUCAACCAAGAAUCCUAUAUCCAGCACAGCUAUCUUUAAAACAAGAAGGCGAAAUACUUUCCCAGAUAAACAGAAACUGAGAGAAUUUGUUGCUAGCCAACUCAUGUCACAAACAAAUACUAAGUUCUACAGGUUGAAAGAAAGUUAUCCUGGACAGUAAUAUGAAUCCACAUAAACAAAGAACACUGGUAAAGGUAAUUAUGUAACUAUAAAUGCAUAUUUUUCUUUCUUGACUGACAAAAAGCAAUUUCAUAAAAUAUGAAUAUAAUGUAUUGUUGAGCCUAUGACAUAUAGAAAUGUAACAUAUGUGUAAUAUAUUCGCCAACAGCAGCACAAAAGAGGUGAAUGUAAGCAAUGCUGUGAUGCACUAGAGAAAUGACUACAGACAAUAGAGUAAUAUUUAUAACAAUGCAUUGAUGCAUUUGUAACAUUAACAGAUGUAAUAUGUAGGCACUGCCUAGAAAAUGCUUUAGACAUGGUACUCAAUGAGAGCAAGUUUCAGAUAAUACUAUGCAAUUUGUUACACUCAUUGCCCAAACUUCCCCCUCCCCAAAAAAUAUCACCCAAAUAUAAUAAAUAUAAGGAAUCCUAA